rnacentral:rRNA from 1 species
CCGUAACUAUAACGGUCCUAAGGUAGCGAAAUUCCUUGUCGGGCAAGUUCCGACCCGCACGAAAGGCGUAACGAUUUGGGCGCUGUCUCAGCUGUAGACUCGGUGAAGUCUUAGUACCUGUGAAGAUGCAGGUUGCCCGCGACUAGACGGAAAGACCCCAUGGAGCUUCACUGCAGGUUGACAUUGGGCUUGGAUGCAUGAUGUACAGGAUAGGUGGGAGGCUGUGAGCCGUGCGCGCCAGCGUACGGGGAGCCGCUGUUGGGAUACCACCCUUCAUGCAUCUAGGUCCUAACCGGAGGCAACGGGCCACGGGACAGUGUCAGUCGGGCAGUUUGACUGGGGCGGUCGCCUCCCAAAGAGUAACGGAGGCGCCCAAAGAUACCCUCAGCAUGGAUGGAAACCAUGCAUAGAGUGCAAAGGCAUAAGGGUGUCUGACUGCGAGACAUACAGGUCGAGCAGGGACGAAAGUCGGGCUUAGUGAUCCGGCGGAUCCGAAUGGAAGGGCCGUCGCUCAACGGAUAAAAGCUACCCUGGGGAUAACAGGCUGAUCUCCCCCAAGAGUUCACAUCGACGGGGAGGUUUGGCACCUCGAUGUCGGCUCAUCGCAUCCUGGGGCUGUAGUCGGUCCCAAGGGUUGGGCUGUUCGCCCAUUAAAGCGGUACGCGAGCUGGGUUCAGAACGUCGUGAGACAGUUCGGUCCCUAUCUGUCGUGGGCGCAGGAGGUUUGAGGAGAGCUGCCCCUAGUACGAGAGGACCGGGGUGGACGGACCGAUGGUGCACCAGUUGUCACGCCAGUGGCACAGCUGGGCAGCCAAGUCCGGACGGGAUAAGCGCUGAAGGCAUCUAAGCGUGAAGCCCCCUCCAAGAUGAGACCUCCCAUUGGCGACAAGUAAGGCCCCUCGAAGACGACGAGGUUGAUAGGCCGCGAGUGCAAGCGCAGCGAUGUGCUUAGCGGGGCGGUACUAAUAGGCCGAGGACUUGGCCAA